CCACCAUUUCCAGACUGAGAAUGCCAGUUGCUCCCAGCUUUCUUUUUGAGAAGUUCGUAACGCUCGCAGCUCUGGCACCAUCAAUCAGUUGCUGCCAGUUGCAUUAAGGGCUUACUCUUGAACUUCCGCUAGCCAGUGUGGCUGCGUAACCUCGCGCAACAGCCACAUCAGACAUCCGAUGGGCCAUUAGGCUCGGGGAAGAAAAUUCAGCAUGCGUUGCUAAAGGCGAAUUUGUCCGCACACAAGUAUCGCUUAAUGUGUCGAGCAGCUUCAUAGAGUUGGAAGGCAAUGGAUCUGGAAUCACGAGGAACUGAGUUCAGACUGUAAUUCUGCUGGCUUACUCUCUAGUGAACUUGGCUUUGGGAGGAUUCCAUUCGGUAAGCAUGUCAAAAUGUCUGGUAGGGAUGGUGCCACCUGGCCGUUGCCCGGUAAUUGUUACUAUGCUUAGUCCUUUUCAGGGGAUCCGGUUCUACAUUAUAUUUCUUGAGAUUCCUUGAGAAACCUCAGAGCAAAAUGUUUUCACAUCUUCGUCGGAAAUAGAGUUUCCUAGCGGAGAAGUACAUCCUGUUAUCCAGGACACCUGCCUGUCUACGCAUUUCCCUAAGCAGUGUAAUUACAACCACUGACGUGGUUUUUAUUCUUUGGGCAUACACUCGGUGUGGCUCCCCCACUGCUCACAUCACCAGCUCCUGCACUUUGUGACUCUGAAUUAACUGCAGUGGAAUAAAUAGAAGGUCGUGUGUCAUGUGGCCGAGGCUGAGGGAGCCUUCCUGAUGGGGGACUGAGCUGGGACUGCUGAAUUCUCUAAGUUCUUGCAAACUGAAAAAAAAAAAAAAGCAAAUGCCACUUUUCGGUGAGGUGGAAAAUCUGGAGGAAGACCAAAAAAAUAAAUAAACAAAUAAGCGAAAUAGAUUUCAGUUUUUAUUCCAUACUUUCGUGGUCCAGCGGGAUUUAUCGCUCCAUAUAUCUGGUGUCUCACUUCAAGCGUCGUGGUACCUUACAAGCCCUCCGUUUGCCGUGGCUGAAGGUUCAGCCUCGCCACCAUCGAGAUGAAACUAGCCAAAAAUAAGGUAGGGGAUCCAACAUCAAGGAAAACUGAACGGAUACCCAAAAUGAUCCGAGACUCGCCGAAAGUAGGAAAAGAGCACUGAAUUCACC
rnacentral:lncRNA from 1 species